UACAGAGGUCCCAAGCGUUGUUCGGAUUCAUUGGGCGUAAAGGGUGCGUAGGCGGCGCGGUAAGUCAGGUGUGAAAUCUCCCGGCUCAACCGGGAAACUGCGCUUGAUACUGGGCGGCUCGAGUGAGGUAGGGGUGUGUGGAACUUCCGGUGGAGCGGUGAAAUGUGUAGAUAUCGGAAGGAACGCCAGCAGCGAAAGCGGCACACUGAGCCUUUUCUGACGCUGAGGCACGAAAGCCAGGGGAGCGAACGGG
rnacentral:rRNA from 1 species